CAGUCGCCGCGGGAAUACGAAGGGUGCAAGCGUUAAUCGGAAUUACUGGGCGUAAAGCGUGCGUAGGCGGUUGUGUAAGACAGGUGUGAAAUCCCCGGGCUUAACCUGGGAACUGCGCUUGUGACUGCACAGCUAGAGUAUGGCAGAGGGGGGUGGAAUUCCACGUGUAGCAGUGAAAUGCGUAGAGAUGUGGAGGAACACCGAUGGCGAAGGCAGCCCCCUGGGCCAAUACUGACGCUCAUGCACGAAAGCGUGGGGAGCAAACAGGAUUAGAUACCCCGGUAGUCCCUGUCUCUUAUAC
rnacentral:rRNA from 1 species